rnacentral:tRNA from 1 species
UACACCCAUAGCUCAACUGGAUAGAGUACUCGGCUACGAACCGAGCGGUUAGGGGUUCGAAUCCCUUUGGGUGUGCCAU